rnacentral:rRNA from 1 species
CUACGGGUGGCUGCAGUGAGGAAUAUUGCACAAUGGGGGAAACCCUGAUGCAGCAACGCCGCGUGGAGGAUGACGCAUUUCGGUGUGUAAACUCCUUUUAUGAGUCAAGAAAAUGACGGUAGCUCAUGAAUAAGCACCGGCUAACUCCGUGCCAGCAGCCGCGGUAAUACGGAGGGUGCAAGCGUUACUCGGAAUCACUGGGCGUAAAGGACGCGUAGGCGGGAUGUCAAGUCAGGUGUGAAAUCCUAUGGCUCAACCAUAGAACUGCACUUGAAACUGGCAACCUAGAGUAUGGGAGGGGGAGAUGGAAUUAGUGGCGUAGGGGUAAAAUCCGUAGAUAUCACUAGGAAUACCGAAAGCGAAGGCGAUCUCCUGGAACAUUACUGACGCUAAGGCGUGAAAGCGUGGGGAGCAAGCAGGAUUAGAUACCCUGGUAGUC